CACUGAAGGGAAGCUUACCAGAGUGCCAUCGAGUUCCUUCCCCUAAGGAUCAGACUUCCAGACUCAAGUGUCAUUUGACCUGGUAUCCAGCUUAAUACAGCCUCUGCUUUUGAAUAGAUUUCCUUACAAGUGGCAAUCUCUAAUAGGGUCAUGUCGAGAGGCAACCCGACUGCAUACUACCUACUGCACGUUAACGUGAUGAAGGUCUCUCCUGAGCACACGGCUUCAUAAACCAGCUGCACAAGCAACUGCAUCUGGGGAUCUGCUUCAAGAGAAACUUAACUAAAGCAAGAAUGGGCUCUAACUUCAGGAUACCUAGGAUUCUAACCUCGUUCCAUUACUUACCAACGAUAUGACCUGGGAAAAAUUAUAUACCUGCUGCACAUCACUGGGGCAAUUUACUGUAGGCAUGCGGCUUUAACAACAACAAAAUGUAAAAAGAGAAGUCACCUAUGGAUGGAUUAAAAAUUACG
rnacentral:lncRNA from 1 species